GCUCCUGUGGUCCAGUGGUUAGAGCGUCCGCCUAGGAUGCGGGAGGUCGUGGGCUCAAACCCCGGCCGAGUCA